GUGAGGAAUAUUGGUCAAUGGGCAGGAGCCUGAACCAGCCAAGUCGCGUGAAGGAAGAAGGAUCUAUGGUUCGUAAACUUCUUUUGCAGGGGAAUAAAGUGCAGGACGUGUCCUGUUUUGUAUGUACCCUGAGAAUAAGGAUCGGCUAACUCCGUGCCAGCAGCCGCGGUAAUACGGAGGAUCCGAGCGUUAUCCGGAUUUAUUGGGUUUAAAGGGUGCGUAGGUGGUUUGAUAAGUCAGCGGUGAAAGUUUGCAGCUUAACUGUAAAAAUGCCGUUGAAACUGUCGGACUUGAGUGUAAAUGAGGUAGGCGGAAUGCGUGGUGUAGCGGUGAAAUGCAUAGAUAUCACGCAGAACUCCGAUUGCGAAGGCAGCUUACUAAGCUACAACUGACACUGAAGCACGAAAGCGUGGGGAUCAAACAGGAUUAGAUACCCUAGUAGUCC
rnacentral:rRNA from 1 species